rnacentral:ncRNA from 1 species
GUGUUGUGUGAAAGGAGAGGUUAGCACUACUCUUGACAAGGACAGAAGAGGUCCUUGGGCCUUAUAACAUGCAUACAUUAAGGCAUUGCCAUCUAUUUUGUGGCAUCUAACUGCAGUUUUAG